AAAAGUCUUAGAGCAGUAUU
rnacentral:miRNA from 1 species